GUAGUGUUUUUGAUUCCAUAAAGUCGCUUAGUCAAAGUGAUGGAAGAUGGCGAUAUGAUUCUAGCAGUGCUGAAUCCAGCACUUAUGUUGCUGGGACAACACUUGAAACACUUGCAGGAGUGGUUUCCCUGGUAGAUCCAGAGGUGGAUCAAUCAAGG